UCACUAGCCGAAAUCGAUAUUCGAUGGUC
rnacentral:sRNA from 1 species